rnacentral:rRNA from 1 species
GACGAACGCUGGCGGCGUGCUUAACACAUGCAAGUCGAGCGGUAAGGCCCUUUCGGGGGUACACGAGCGGCGAACGGGUGAGUAACACGUGGGUGACCUGCCCUCAGCUCUGGGAUAAGCCUGGGAAACUGGGUCUAAUACUGGAUAUGACUCCACGGUGCAUGUCGUGGGGUGGAAAGCCUUGUGCGGCUGAGGAUGGGCCCGCGGCCUAUCAGCUUGUUGGUGGGGUGANGGCCUACCAAGGCGACGACGGGUAGCCGGCCUGAGAGGGCGACCGGCCACACUGGGACUGAGACACGGCCCAGACUCCUACGGGAGGCAGCAGUGGGGAAUAUUGGACAAUGGGCGAAAGCCUGAUCCAGCCAUGCCGCGUGAGUGAUGAAGGCCUCGGUCGGUAAG